AUUUUAACCCUCAGGUGCUCUUCGGUCAUUUCUGACCGAAAAUAAAUCUGUUUUGAAUAUUUAAAAAUCACAGCUUCAUCAGAAAAUUACGAAACUUGGUGACUUUUAUGGCAAUAGGUAUGUGAACACACAAAAAAAUUGAGGUCAUGAUUCGAGCAGUUUAAGUGGUCAUAAAAAAAUGAGUCACACUUUUGCUCUUCUGUCAAACAUGACCGACCAUAGGAAAUGAAUGGGAAAUUGACAAAAA